rnacentral:rRNA from 1 species
AUUGAACGCUGGCGGCAGGCCUAACACAUGCAAGUCGAGCGAGCGGCGGACGGGUGAGUAAUGCCUGGGAAUUGCCCAGUCGAGGGGGAUAACAGUUGGAAACGACUGCUAAUACCGCAUACGAUUGGUUUGCCCAGGUGGGAUUCGCUAGUUGGUGAGGUAAUGGCUCACCAAGGCGACGAUCCUUAGCUGGUCUGAGAGGAUGAUCGACCACGCUGGAACUGAUACACGGUGCAGACUCCGACGGUAGGCAGCAGUGGGGAAUAUUGCACAAUGGGGGAAACCCUGAUGCAGCCAUGCCGCUUGUGUGAAUAAGGCCUUCGGGUUGGAAAGCACUUUCAGCGAGGAGGCGUUACUCGCAGAAGAAGCACCGGCUAACUCCGUGCCAGCAGCCGCGGUAAUAC